GUGUCUGCCUUCGACUUGGGUCGUGAUCCCAGGGUCCUUGGAUCGAGUCCUGCAUGGGGUUUCCUGCUUAGUGGGGAGCCUGCUUCUCCCUCUGCCUCUGCCACUCGCCCUGCUUGUGCUCAUUCUCUCUCUGUGUGUCAAAUAAAAUCCUUUAAAAAAAAAAAAGACAGAAAUCUCUCUAGAAAGGCUGGGGUGUGGGAGUUCCUCCUCUUCCCUUCUAGGUUCUUCCUUCCUCCUACGUCUUCUCUUCCUUUUCCUACUUCUCUUUCUCCUUCCCCUCCUCCAACCCUCUUCCUCUUCUCUUUCAGAAUUUACCAACAGCAACUCCAUGCUAGACAUCAUGCCAGACACUGGGCUGCAAAGACGAGUCAGUAUUCACCUCUGACGGGCAAGAAAACUCCAGCAAUGUAGAAGACUUGAGAUAUUGAGGGGCCGACAUCUGUCGGGUCACUGUGGUAGCCACACUUGGAGAAGGCCCCCAGUGAUCCUUGGCAUCUGGUGUUCAAGCCUCUCCCACACUGAAGAGCCAACCUGUGUGAUUGGUGGGUUAUUGCAGAAAUGAUGAAGUGUGACUUCUGAGGCUAGGGAAGAAUAAGACAUUGUGACUUCCAUGAAGUUCUUUCCUGGAUCCUUCCCUCUAGGGAAACCAGUUGUCAUGUUGUGAGGACACAAGCAGUCCUGUGGAGAGAUCCAUGGGGCAAGAAGCUGACGUCUGCCAAUGACCAGCACCAACUUGCCAACCUCGAAGUCAGAUCCUCCAGUUCCCGUCUAGCCUUCCAUGGUCACAGACCUGCCUGUCACCUUGACUGGAACUUCAUGGAAGACCCCAGAGCCACAAGCUGGCACAGCCACGAAGGUGCUUCCAAGUUUUUGACGCACAGAAACGGAGAGACAAUACACGGUACCACACUGUUUGUUGUUCAUGUAAGUCAUCAAGAGUUGGUGUGAUUUGUUAUUGAUGAGGAGAUAACUAACAUAUUGUGCUCUUAGUCAAAGCUUUUUAUUUUGAAUGAUUAUUUCAAUUCUCUGUCCCUUCCUCCCCACCCCCUUACGCACGCAGACUUCUACGUCCCUUUUUUCCCAGAGGCUUUGAAGCACUACUUUCAAGUGAUACUUCCAAAGGUUGAUGUUCACUAAAGCAACCUGAAAACUGAAUUCCAAAUCCUUGAGCUGAAUAUAUUUCUAACAUAGACCACACACAGGAAAGCAACAAAAACAUCUGCUCAUAAGCAUAAGGUUUGUAUUCAAUUCUCACCCAGGUUUUUUUUUAACUUUUGACUUUAUUUAUUUAAGCAUUUACCAAAAACCCCUAAAAUUUAUAAAAGAAACACCAAUACAAUACUGCAAUAUAUUAGCAAUAGAAUUUUUAAACAGUACAGAUGUGAUGUAAAACAUGCAAUGUAUGCACCAGGACUUGAACUUCUAAGUGAUUAUUGUGCUCAAUUGUGCAUCACUGAUUGCUGUUUAGACCAAUUGGACCUCAGAUCGAUUCAACUGGUGAAAAUGUCCAGGUUGGUCACACACCGCAUUGUUUACACCAGCAGUUGGAAACUAAGCUAUAGUGUAGAUGACAGGCUGCCGCUGCUGUUGAAAUAAUAGGAAAAUGAAUUAUCCAUGGCUAGUAAUUGCUAACAAAGUAAUAAGGUUAUAUACAUUCUCAAGAUGUCUAUGAAUAAGAAGAAGGAUAAAAAGGGCAGAAAAUAGGAAUUGAAUUAUGUCAAAAGGACCCAAGUAGAGUAUUUUAGAAAAGCAAAACUUGCUACAUGUAUGGCUGUACCCAAGACUGUGUUAACUCUAAAGGAGCUUCAAAUGCUAAGUUUGGACAGUGUGAAUGAAUCCAAAGUCAGUUGGAGGAAGGAUGAAUUAAGGGUGCUUGGGUGGCUCAGUUGCUUAAAAGUCCGUCUUUGGCUCAGGUCAUGAUUUCAGGGUCCGAAGCCCCACAUGGGGUGCCCUGCUCAGCAGGGAGCCUGCUUCUCCCUCUCCCUCUGCCUCUCCUCCUGGCUUAUGCUUUCUUGCUCUCUCUGCCAAAUAAAUAAAUAAAUAAAAUCUUUUUUUGUUUUUAA
rnacentral:lncRNA from 12 species